rnacentral:rRNA from 1 species
AUGCACCCCUUCUCCUUGCUCGACGACCCGCGCCGUCUCCGCCGGCUCCUCUCGUCCUGCGCGGCGCUCCGGACACUCACCCGCCUCCACGCCCUCCUGAUCGUCUCCUCCUCCGCCUCCUCCCACCACAUUCUUUCCUCCUGCCUCGCCACCGCUUACGCCCGCGCCGGCGACCUCGCCGCCGCCGAGUCCACGCUCGCCACCGCGCCCACGUCGCCCUCCUCCAUCGCCGCGUGGAACGCCCUCCUCGCGGCGCAUUCCCGCGGGGCCUCCCCGGACGAGGCGCUGCGCGUCUUCCGCGCUCUCCCGGCCGCCGUGCGCCCCGACAGCACCACCUUCACGCUCGCGCUCUCCGCGUGCGCGCGCCUCGGGGACCUCGCCGCCGGGGAGGUCGUCAGGGACCGCGCGUCCAAGGCAGGGUACAGGAACGACAUCUUCGUGUGCUCGUCGCUGCUAAACUUGUACGCAAAAUGGGGCGCCAUGGACGACGCCGUCAAGGUGCUCGACCGAAUGCGGAAGAGGGACCGCGUCACCUGGAGCACCAUGGUUACCGGAUUCGUGAACGCGGGGCAGCCGGUUCAGGCGAUCGAGAUGUAUAUGAGGAUGAGGGAGGACGGUCUGGAGGGAGACGAGGUGGUUAUUGUCGGGGUUAUGCAGGCUUGUGCAGCAACAGGGCAUGUCCGGAUGGGGGCCUCGGUUCAUGGGUACUUGUUGCGGCAUGCUAUGCGGAUGGACGUUGUCAUCUCGACAAGCCUUGUGGACAUGUAUGCAAAGAAUGGACUGUUUGAUCAGGCGCGCCGGGUGUUUGAGCUGAUGCCGCACAGGAAUGAUGUGUCGUGGAGCGCACUGAUCUCACAGCUUGCUCAGUAUGGGAAUGCGGAUGAGGCACUUGGCUUGUUCAGACAGAUGCAGGUAUCUGGUUUUCAGCCCAAUUCAGGGCCAGUUGUUGGUGCACUAUUAGCUUGUUCGGAUCUUGGACUCUUGAAGCUAGGGAAGUCAAUACAUGGUUUCAUCUUGAGGAGCCUCGAGCUCGAUCGCAUGGUAGGUACAGCAGUCAUUGAUAUGUACUCAAAAUGCGGCUCCCUCGCAAGCGCCCAAAUGCUUUUCGAUAAGGUUGUCUCGAGAGACUUGAUUUCGUGGAAUGUGAUGAUUGCAUGCUUUGGUGCUCAUGGACGAGGCCGUGAUGCCCUCUCCUUGUUCCAGGAAAUGAAGAAAAACAAAGAGAGACCUGAUCACGCCACAUUUGCUUCUCUUUUGUCGGCUCUCAGCCACUCCGGUCUCGUAGAAGAAGGGAAAUUCUGGUUCGAUUGCAUGGUUAAUGAUUACGGAAUUGAACCUGCCGAGAAACACUUGGUGUCUAUAGUGGAUCUCUUGGCUCGUUCUGGUCUGGUUGAAGAGGCCAAUGACCUUCUGGCAUCAAUGCACACCAGACCAACCAUCUCAAUUUUGGUCGCUCUGCUUUCAGGCUGUCUGAAUAACAAGAAGCUGGAACUUGGGGAGAGCACAGCAGAGAAGAUCCUUGAACUGCAACCUGGGGAUGUCGGCGUCCUUGCUUUGGUCUCAAAUCUUUACGCCGCUGCCAAGAACUGGGACAAGGUCAGGGAAGUGCGCAAGCUAAUGAAGGACCAUGGCAGCAAGAAGGUGCCCGGGUGUAGCUCAAUAGAGAUACGCGGAGCACUGCAUACAUUCGUCAUGGAAGAUCAGAGCCAUCCUCAGCAUAGACAGAUUCUGCGGAUGAUCUCCAAGCUCGACUCCGAGAUGAGGAAGAUAGGCUACGUCCCGAAGACGGAGUUUGUGUACCAUGACCUCGAGGAAGGCGUCAAGGAGCAGCUUCUCAGCCGCCACAGCGAGAGGCUGGCCAUCUGUUAG